AUGAAAACAGUUUCACUUUUGCUUAAACUCUGUCUCUUCUACACCCUCCCUGUAUAUAAAUGUUACCCACUUCUUGCUCAUGAGAUGCACUAGUGCUCUGAGAGCCCACCAGUUUUGACUUCUCAUACAUCAACUGCUACAAAUCUCGAGCGUGGACAAAAUAACUGCUUGGACACACAAGUUGAAUUAGACUUUGGGCAAUCAAAGCCAGCAACGCAAACAUGAAUUUCUUCAAGGGGAUCAGUGAUGCUGCAGUAGGAGUUGUUGAGGGCACUGCUGGGGCUGUGAAAGCUGUGGCGGACACCUCAGUAGCCACCGCUAAAGGAGUUGCAGAAGAUGGAGUUGCCCAGGUGAACAGAGCAGUCACAGCUGGGGUAACAGGCAUUUUGCAGACUCCAGGGACAGUUGUGGCAGGAGCUCAGCAAGCAGUGGAUGCAGUAAUUAAAAAGUAACACUUUUUAAUAAAACAUACACCAAAACUUC